rnacentral:rRNA from 1 species
UGAAAGGAUAAAUUUUUGGUUAAGUAAUUUAAAAUUAUUUUUUAUAAACAUUUGGAGGAAAUCUUGGCAAAAAAAUAAGGACGUCACGCUACGAAAACUUGUAAGUAAGCAUAGGCUUGUGAUCUACAAAUUUCCAUGAGUAAACUAAUUUAUUAAAAUUUAUGAAAAGUGUGAAUUGAAUCAUCUUAGUAACACUUAAAAACAAAUCAACCGAGAUUCUGUAAGUAAUGGCGAGUGAAAGCAGAAAAAGCUUAAAAAGUCUAGAUAGUUUAGAAAAUAACACUCAAAAGGGUAAAAGUCCCGUAUAAAACUAAAUUUUUUUGAAAAUAAGUAUUACGUAUUAUAUGUAUGAAAAAAGGAGUACCACCUUCUAAGCUAACAAAUUUUUUUGACCGAUAGUAAACGAGUAUUGUGAAAAAAAGAUGAAAAAUUCCGUAAGGAUUACAAAAACCAAAUGUUUAAUACAAUUCGAAGUUUUAUAUUUUUAAUGACGAAAUGCCUUUUGCAUAAUGAGUCAGCAAGUUAAUAAGUAUAGCAAGUUUAUAUACAAAAUAUUAAAGCAAAUUAAAGCAAUAUUUAUUAAACCUGAAACCAAGUGAUCUAAUCAUAAACAAAGUGAAAAUUCUUUAAAAAGUUUUUUAAGCUUGAACUCGUGUAUGUAGCAAAAUACUGGGAUGAUUUAUGGUUUGGAGUGAAAGGCUAAUCAAACUUGGAAAUAGCCGGUUUUCCGCGAAAUGUAUUUUAGUACAGUAUUAAUUUAAAUAAAUCGUAAGUAGAGUACAAAUUAAACUAUGGGGUUUAAACACUUACUGCAUUUAAUUUAUCUCCGAAAUAUAAUUUAAUAUCAUUAAUAAACAGUCUUUAAGCGAUAAGGUUUAUAGACAAAAGGGUAACAACCCUAAUCGUAUAUUAAGAUCUAUAAAAAAUAGUUUAGUGUAGAAAUUUUUAUUAAAGAGUCAAAUAGUAUAGAGUAGGCUUAGAAGCAGCCAUUUAUUAGAAAAAGCGUUUUAGCUUAUUAUUUAUUCUUUUGAAAAUUAAAAUAAACAGGCUUAAACUAUAUAUCGAUAUAACGGAUAAAAAAUUUUAGUGGUAGCGGAACGUCUUGUAAAUUUAAUUAUUAAUUUUAAAAUUAAUAAUAAUAUUUCAAGAGUGCAAAUGCUGACAUGAGUAGCGUUAACUAUGUAUAUUUAAUCAUAGUCACUAAAUGUUCAAGGGUUUCAAUGUAAUUUAAAAUUCAUUGAGUUAUGCGGUCCUUAAAAUAAAAAGUUUGUGAAAACUCUAAUUGAUAGGAUUAUUACAAAGACUGUUAUAUGUAACAAAUUAUUGUUAUGAAAAAAGAAAAAUUACAAAACUUUAGUAUACAGUGGUUUUAAGUUUAAAAGUAAAGAUUCUUUCGAGAAAAAAUUAUAACAAUCCAAAGACCGUACCAAAACCGACACAGGUGAACUAAUAGAAAAUAUUAUGGUGAAUGAAUAAAUUGUAUUUAAGGAACUCGGCAAAUUAACUCUGUACGUUCGCAAUAAAGAGUGCCGUAAAAUUAAAUAAGAGUACGGUAACAUUAAAGAGAAAGCAACGACUGGUUAUCAAAACCAUAGGACUCUGCUAAUUAUAUAAAAAUGUAUAGAGUCUGACGUCUGCCCGGUGCUUAAAAAUAAAAAGUACUAGUAUAAGCUAUAUCUUUUAAAUCUAAGUAAACGGCGGUUCUAACUAUAAGAAUCCUUAGGUAGCGAAAUUCCUUGACGGGUAAAUUCCGUCCUGCAUGAAUGACGUAACGAUUGCUUUACUGUCUCAAAUACAAAUUCAGCGAAAUUACAAAACCUGUGAAAAUGCAGGUUACUUACAGUAAGACGGAAAGACCCUAGAUCCUUUACUUGCUUCUUAUAUUGUAAAAAAUUGUUAACCUGUGUAGAAUAAAUGGGAGUUUAGUAACAAAAUUGAAAUACCAUUCAAGUUUAUAAUAUUUUACUAAUUUAAAAAAUUUUAAAAAAAGUAUAAGAAAGAAAGUUUACUUGGGACGAGUACCUCCUAAAAAGUAACGGAGGUGUACAAAGGUAGAUUAAAUAAUAAUUUUAUAUAUAAUGGUAAAAAUUUACUUGACAAUUAAAUUGAUAAAUUAAAUUGGAACGAAAGUUAGUCAUAGUGACCCGAUAUUUAAGAGUGGAAUUAAUAUCGUUUAUCAAAUAAAAGGAACUCUAGGGAUAACAGAUUUAUCGUGAUUGCGAGUCCAUAUCAAUGUCACGGUUUGAUACCUCGAUGUCGACUCAUCUUAUCCUGAAAUUGAAGUUGAUUUCAAGGGUCUAGUUGUUCGCUAGUUAAAAAGGUACGUGAGUUGGGUUCAGAACGUCGUGAGACAGUUCGGUCCCUAUCUACUGUAAGUUUUUGAAAAAUAUUAAGUUUAUUUCUAGUACGAGAGGACCGAAAUAUUUUAACCAAUGGUGAAUCGGUUGUUGUACCAACAGCAUAGUCGAGUAGCUACGUUGAUUUUGUAUAAAUACUGAAUGAAUCAAUAGUAUUAAAACUUCUUAAAUUAUUUUUCGAGAAUAAUCUGAAAGAAUAUUAGAUGGAUCGGUUUAAAAAUAUUAUUUAGUAAUAAGUAAUUUAUAAAUACGAAUAUUAUUCAAAAAAUAAAAAUUUUAAAU